rnacentral:rRNA from 1 species
AAAACAUCUUCUCUUGUUUUAAUUUGAGGUAGCGCCUGCCCAAUGAUUUAUUUAAUGGCCGCGGUAUUUUGACCGUGCAAAGGUAGCAUAAUCAUUAGCUUAAUAAUUGUAAGCUUGUAUGAAUGGUAUGACGAAGCAUUAUCUGUCUCUUUAUAAUUUUUAGAAUUUAAAUUUUGAGUUAAAAUGCUUAAAUUUUUUUAUUGGACGAGAAGACCCUAUAGAUCUUUAUUGAUUUAUUUUUAAAUAUUUUUUAGAUUAUUUAUUUUUUAAAAUUAAUUUUGUUUUGUUGGGGUGACAUGGAGAUAUUAUAACUCAUUAUUUAAUAUUAACAUUGAUUUAUGAUUAAUUGACCUUAUUAUAUUGUUAAAAGAUUUAGAUACCUUAGGGAUAACAGCGUAAUUUUAUUUGAGAGUUCUUAUUGACAAUAAAGAUUGCGACCUCGAUGUUGGAUUAAGAUAAUAUUUUGGUGUAGUAGCUGAAAUAAUAGGUCUGUUCGACCUUUAAAAUCUUACA